rnacentral:rRNA from 1 species
UACGUAGGGGCUAGCGUUGUCCGGAAUCAUUGGGCGUAAAGCGCGUGUAGGCGGCCCGAUAAGUCCGCUGUGAAAGUCCAGGGCUCAACCCUGGGAUGCCGGUGGAUACUGUCGGGCUCGAGUCCGGAAGAGGCGAGUGGAAUUCCUGGUGUAGCGGUGAAAUGCGCAGAUAUCAGGAGGAACACCAAUGGCGAAGGCAGCUCGCUGGGACGUGACUGACGCUGAGACGCGAAAGCGUGGGGAGCAAACAGG